rnacentral:rRNA from 2 species
CUUGGAGAUUAGCGGCGGACGGGUGAGUAACACGUGGGCAACCUGCCUAUAAGACUGGGAUAACUUCGGGAAACCGGAGCUAAUACCGGAUACGUUCUUUUCUCGCAUGAGAGAAGAUGGAAAGACGGUUUACGCUGUCACUUAUAGAUGGGCCCGCGGCGCAUUAGCUAGUUGGUGAGGUAAUGGCUCACCAAGGCGACGAUGCGUAGCCGACCUGAGAGGGUGAUCGGCCACACUGGGACUGAGACACGGCCCAGACUCCUACGGGAGGCAGCAGUAGGGAAUCUUCCGCAAUGGACGAAAGUCUGACGGAGCAACGCCGCGUGAACGAAGAAGGCCUUCGGGUCGUAAAGUUCUGUUGUUAGGGAAGAACAAGUACCAGAGUAACUGCUGGUACCUUGACGGUACCUAACCAGAAAGCCACGGCUAACUACGUGCCAGCAGCCGCGGUAAUACGUAGGUGGCAAGCGUUGUCCGGAAUUAUUGGGCGUAAAGCGCGCGCAGGUGGUUCCUUAAGUCUGAUGUGAAAGCCCACGGCUCAACCGUGGAGGGUCAUUGGAAACUGGGGAACUUGAGUGCAGAAGAGGAAAGUGGAAUUCCAAGUGUAGC